AACCCCUCAAGCUCUGCUUGGUGUUGGGCGUUUUGUCUACGGACUCGCCCCAAAUCUAUUGGCAGCAGCCUUACCAGCUUCUUGCGCAGUACAAUGCGCUUUAAGAAGCUUGUGUAGUGGUGUGCAACCCAGUAAGCAACUCUUUA
rnacentral:misc_RNA from 1 species